rnacentral:lncRNA from 1 species
UGUAUGAACACAGUGCAGCAAGGUUACACCUCGAGUGUCGUCUGAGAAGUGGCGGUUGUAUUUUGUUGAGCUGGUUUCUCGCUGCUCCGGCUGUGCAAACAUAUAUUAUUGGACUUUUCUGACGGACACAUUUGGUUCUUACAACGGUGCAAAGACAUGAACUUCGCCACUUGCUAUUGUCUUUCUCUACUAUUUAUAAUAGUAGUACAAUGUAAACCAUCUUGCCAUCCCUAUCAGAAGGAUGGUCUCACACACUACCUGUUGUUAGACCCAGAGGGGGUUUUGAAUGCCCCACCCACCGACUGUGAUGUUUCAUACGAACUUCAAAACGGCACUAAUAUCGCCAACCUGAACGGAAAUAAACUCCCUUACGUGAUAGAUAUUACCAUCAAUGGACUCACAACCACGAUGUGUUUCACAUAUAUUGGCAUCACGUGCGCCUGCAACUUAAAGGGGAUUCUAUAUGUAGUACACUGUAACAUCAGCUGUAGUGAAACAACUCCCUCCACUGUGGAUCAAAGCAUCAAACCCACUCCCUCCACUGUGGAUCAAAGAAACCAUCUCCUACUUAAGAUCCUCUUGCCCAUUGGACUUGUGGUGGUGGUCAUUGUUACCAUUGUUGCUCUGGUGUGUCUAUGGAAGGGAAAGAAAAUCAGGUAAAUUUUUCAUCAUAUUGGGACAUGAAAAUACUUGCAUUUAUUUUUCUUAGAAUUAACCAACAUAUAUUGUGUCACAUAGAUGCUCCAUGUUCAGAUUCUACACGUUGGUGAAGACAACCAACGAGGAACACCAAGCAAACGACAUUGAGCUUGGAGAAGUGAAUUAGGAAUGAGUAUUUCUAAAAUAUUUUGGCCCAUUUUAAAAAAAACAAAAAAACAUUUAAAAUGGCUUUUUUUUUUUAGAUACAAUACUGUACAUGCAUCUAUAGUAAUAUAUAGACUUAUUAUCACCUCACACAAUUACACACACAGCACACUGCUUUUACCUUUUGAAAUGUUUAUAUUUAAAUAUUGUGUUCAUACUUUGACUAUUUCUGACCUUUUCUUACUGACUUUUUAAACUCCCCUUAGGGAAACCUACACUGGUGUGAAAGUGAAUGAAAGCUGUGGAAGCUAAGACACAUUACACCCCAUUUACAGGUUUAGAUCACAGCAGUAAGAUUAACCUGAUUGUUUAAAAUACUUAUGGCAGGGGUCACCAACACGGGGCCCGUGGGCACCAGGGAGCCCGUAUGGACCAUGUGAGGUUCCCUCAGGAGCUCUAGUCACCAAUGAGCUCCAUUUAAAAUCUGAUUUACUUUCCAGGAUUCAAACUCAUUUUGAUUUUCAUAAAAUGAAUAAAUUGUUACAUUUUACAAAUGUUACA